rnacentral:rRNA from 1 species
UGGGGAAUAUUGGACAAUGGGCGCAAGCCUGAUCCAGCCAUGCCGCGUGAGUGACGAAGGCCUUAGGGUUGUAAAGCUCUUUUGGCGGGGAAGAUAAUGACGGUACCCGCAGAAUAAGCUCCGGCUAACUUCGUGCCAGCAGCCGCGGUAAUACGAAGGGAGCUAGCGUUGUUCGGAAUCACUGGGCGUAAAGCGCACGUAGGUGGGCAGUUAAGUCAGGGGUGAAAGCCCGAGGCUCAACCUCGGAAUUGCCUCUGAUACUGGCUGUCUAGAGUCCGAGAGAGGUGGGUGGAAUUCCUAGUGUAGAGGUGAAAUUCGUAGAUAUUAGGAAGAACACCGGUGGCGAAGGCGGCCCACUGGUCCGACACUGACGCUGAGGCGCGAAAGCGUGGGGAGCAAACAGGAUUAGAUACCCUCGUAGUCCCUGAGCGGGCUGGCAAGGCGCAU